UUUCCGUAGGUGAACCUGCGGAAGGAUCAUCAAAGAAUUUGCCCCGUCCUCUCGAGGAUGGGUCCUCUUCUAAACCGUGUAUACAUACCUUUGUUGCUUUGGCGGGCCGCCGUCUCGGCGUUGGCUUCGGCUGACUGUGCCCGCCAGAGAACCCCAACUCUUCUGUUUAGUAUUGUCUGAGUACUAUAUAAUAGUUAAAACUUUCAACAACGGAUCUCUUGGUUCUG
rnacentral:misc_RNA from 1 species